rnacentral:rRNA from 1 species
AACGAACGCUGGCGGCAUGCCUAACACAUGCAAGUCGAACGAGACCUUCGGGUCUAGUGGCGCACGGGUGCGUAACGCGUGGGAACCUGCCCUUAGGUUCGGAAUAACUCCCCGAAAGGGGUGCUAAUACCGGAUAAUGUCUUCGGACCAAAGAUUUAUCGCCUUUGGAUGGGCCCGCGUUGGAUUAGCUAGUUGGUAGGGUAAAAGCCUACCAAGGCGACGAUCCAUAGCUGGUCUGAGAGGAUGAUCAGCCACACUGGGACUGAGACACGGCCCAGACUCAUACGAGAGGCAGCAGUGGGGAAUAUUGGAAAAUGGGAGAAAGCCUGAUACAGCAAUGCCGCGUGAGUGAUGAAGGCAUUAGGGUUGUAAAGCUCUUUUACCCGGGAUGAUAAUGACAGUACCGGGAGAAUAAGCUCCGGCUAACUCCGUG